rnacentral:rRNA from 1 species
GAAGAACCUUACCUGGUCUUGACAUCCACAGAACUUUCCAGAGAUGGAUUGGUGCCUUCGGGAACUGUGAGACAGGUGCUGCAUGGCUGUCGUCAGCUCGUGUUGUGAAAUGUUGGGUUAAGUCCCGCAACGAGCGCAACCCUUAUCCUUUGUUGCCAGCGAUUAGGUCGGGAACUCAAAGGAGACUGCCAGUGAUAAACUGGAGGAAGGUGGGGAUGACGUCAAGUCAUCAUGGCCCUUACGACCAGGGCUACACACGUGCUACAAUGGCGCAUACAAAGAGAAGCGACCUCGCGAGAGCAAGCGGACCUCAUAAAGUGCGUCGUAGUCCGGAUUGGAGUCUGCAACUCGACUCCAUGAAGUCGGAAUCGCUAGUAAUCGUGGAUCAGAAUGCCACGGUGAAUACGUUCCCGGGCCUUGUACACACCGCCCGUCACACCAUGGGAGUGGGUUGCAAAAGAAGUAGGUAGCUUAACCUUCGGGAGGGCGCUUACCACUUUGUGAUUCAUGACUGGGGUGAAGUCGUAACAAGGUAACCGUAGGGGAACCUGCGGUUGGAUCACCUCCUUA